AACCAGCACCUCAAGUGGUCAGGAUGAUUAUUGGGCCUAAAGCAUCCGUAGCCUGUUCUGUAAGUUUUCGGUUAAAUCUAUGCGCUCAACGUAUAGGCUGCCGAAAAUACUGCAAAACUAGGGAGUGGGAGAGGUAGACGGUACUCGGUAGGAAGGGGUAAAAUCCUUUGAUCUAUUGAUGACCACCUGUGGCGAAGGCGGUCUACCAGAACACGUUCGACGGUGAGGGAUGAAAGCUGGGGGAGCAAACCGG
rnacentral:rRNA from 1 species